CUGUUCUUAGCAAUCCUUUCCAGAAAGAUAGAGAACAUUUCUUGUUAAGGGAACUAGUCCAGCAUACUGUGAUGUUAAUGGAAUGAGUUUAUUUAAUACUACCUAACAAAACCAACGUAGUCAAGGGCAAACAAUUAACAUUAAAAAAAGUCUUCCAAAUUUAGACGGCCCUCUGGGAGCUUUAAUAACGGUCUUUCACAUUUUCAUCAUUAGCUAGG
rnacentral:lncRNA from 1 species